rnacentral:lncRNA from 1 species
AAUGUAGAUAGAGCUGUGUGGGGGACUGAGGUGAGAGAAAAUGAUGGAGAGCAGUGGUUCCCAGUUUAUGGCAUUGCAUGUGCCCUCUGUAAAGCCAAAAGGGAUGCAGCCAUGAGCUCAGAGCUCUGCUCUGUGAAAUUCAGCAGAACUUCCCAAAGUCAGAGGGGAAGGCUCAGUGGCACAGGGGCAUUAGCAGCUCCCCACACCCUCCUGCUUUGGAACGGGGGUAGUAGGUGCUUCCUGGCAAGUUCCAAAAAAGUUGUAGUGAUAGGAUUAUAUAAAGGCUUGGUCAGAAGGGCCAUGUGGCCAGACAAGUUAAUGUCACGGGAACACAAUGCUUUCAUGGCUCUUCAUGGCAAAAAAGACACAGUUAAGUGCACAAUGAAUCUUGUAGGCUUUGCAAAAGCUCCAUAAACACUUCCAAGUGCUGAUGAGGUGGGAACAUGGAGCUCUGUGCCCUACCAGUAGCUGCAGGUUCCUUUCCACUUCACUCUUUAAUCAAUUACACAUUUGCUACCAUUUAAUUGCUCUGUUGCACAGUUGGCUGCUGUAACAUGGACCUCUAAUCCACACUAUUGCCUUCCUAAUACAGAAGCCAUGAUUCCACAACAGGAGGAGGACAGAUGGCUUUAGAAGCCCACUCUGAAGAGCACCCAGUGCAGUGUCAGAAGAUCCCUCCAAAAAGAAACCCCUCGGGAAACUCUUAUGCUUGCAAGCUGCCAUCAGAAUUGGAAACAGCCUAGUCCUGCCUUGUACUGAACACCCAUCUAAUGGAGCAUCAACUGGAAAGCAGCCAAGCAAUUACCGAGCCCAAGAAAAAAGAAAGCAUCAAAUUCGUUACCCAGACGACUUACAAACCAAACCUGAAAGGGUUUAUAAAACCCCAUGCAAACAGACAUAGCAUUGCUACAGCAAAGCACUCAGCUCUUAGGAGGGGAUUGGAACCCCAGCAGUGUGGGGCAGCCAUGCAGCCGCCUGCCCAUGGGCACCAUGGCUGUACCAAACCCCACUGCCUGCCCAUGCCAGCCAGCCAGUCCCAGCUCACCAAGAGAUACCUGGCUGCAGUAAAUCAGAAGCAGGGGACAUUCCCCCAGAGGUCAUUUUUCUGCUGAUCAGAACCCUGAUGAUGACUGGCUACGUUGCAUGAAUGGAUUUUGCUCAUGCAGGGCACCUGCAGUUGGCUUAUGGCCUUGCUGGAUGUUUGCAGAGCUUUUCUCAAGUGCAUCUGCUAUUCAAGCUGACCCUACACAUUCCAUUGGUAUCUUGUUUUUUGGCUAUUUUCCCCCUUCUCUGGACUCAUGACAAGGAGUUCACUAACAAUGGGCUAUGGCACAGCCUAGAGCUGGAUCUGACCGUGUCAAAUGACAAGAUAUUUUUGUUAUAACCUGUAUAAAUAGGGGAAAGCCAUGACUUUGAAGUAAAAAAGGUUUUUUUCUCUUGAGAACAUGAAAUCUUCCAGAUCAGACAGGC